rnacentral:rRNA from 1 species
UCAGGAUGAACGCUAGCGGCAGGCUUAACACAUGCAAGUCGAGGGGUAACAUUGUGCUUGCACAGAUGACGACCGGCGAACGGGUGCGUAACGCGUAUAGAAUCUACCUCUUACUAAGGGAUAGCCCAGAGAAAUUUGGAUUAAUACCUUAUAGUAUGCAGACUUGGCAUCAAGACUGCAUUAAAGAUUACGGUAGGAGAUGACUAUGCGUCCUAUUAGCUAGAUGGUGUGGUAACGGCACACCAUGGCAACGAUAGGUAGGGGCCCUGAGAGGGGGAUCCCCCACACUGGUACUGAGACACGGACCAGACUCCUACGGGAGGCAGCAGUGAGGAAUAUUGGACAAUGGAGGCAACUCUGAUCCAGCCAUGCCGCGUGCAGGAAGACUGCCCUAUGGGUUGUAAACUGCUUUUAUACAGGAAGAAACACUGCUACGUGUAGCAGCUUGACGGUACUGUAAGAAUAAGGAUCGGCUAACUCCGUGCCAGCAGCCGCGGUAAUACGGAGGAUCCAAGCGUUAUCCGGAAUCAUUGGGUUUAAAGGGUCCGUAGGUGGAUAAUUAAGUCAGAGGUGAAAUCCUGCAGCUCAACUGUAGAAUUGCCUUUGAUACUGGUUAUCUUGAGUUAUUAUGAAGUAGUUAGAAUAUGUAGUGUAGCGGUGAAAUGCAUAGAUAUUACAUAGAAUACCAAUUGCGAAGGCAGAUUACUAAUAAUAUACUGACACUGAUGGACGAAAGCGUGGGGAGCGAACAGGAUUAGAUACCCUGGUAGUCCACGCCGUAAACGAUGGUCACUAGCUGUUCGAACUUCGGUUUGAGUGGCUAAGCGAAAGUGAUAAGUGACCCACCU